rnacentral:tmRNA from 1 species
GGGGCUGAUCCGGUUUCGACGGGGGUUGUCGAGGGCGGGAUAAGCGAGCCGUGGACCCGGGCCACGAUAAAACUGGGAAAAAAAGUAACUGACAAUAACAAUUACGCUUUCGCGGCCUAAUCGGCCGUGACGGUGGCCCGGUUUGACCGCGUGGCCGGUCGCCACCGUCAUGAACGCGGUGCACGAGCAUGCCUAAGCUUUGCAGCAUGUCCGUAACAUGAAGCUACUAACGCUGUCAGCCUGUCAAUGGGCGGUCAGCUGAGGGAAUGUCAAAUCAUUGACUGCGCUCGGAGAAAAUCCCGUUUGCGAGCCUUCGGACAGGAGUUCGACUCUCCUCAGCUCCA